UGACAGCUACGAUUUUAGGGUUAUGUUAUUAAUCAUUAUCAUUAUUUAAUUUUUAUUAGAGUACAUUAUUAUUAAGUUAAAAUAAUAAAAUGGUGUGUGAGAAAUGUGAGAAGAAGCUCGGCCGUGUUAUAACUCCGGACCCGUGGAAGACAGGGGCGCGGAACACAGUUGAGUCUGGUGGCAGAAAAGUUGGCGAAAACAAAGCUUUGACCGCCAAAAAAGGGCGCUAUAACCCUUACACGUCGAAGUUUCAAGAGUGCAAGAUUUGCCGAACUAAAGUGCACCAAGUAGGCUCCCACUACUGUCAGGCGUGUGCAUACAAGAAAGGGAUCUGUGCAAUGUGUGGUAAAAAGAUACUGGACACUUCAAAUUACAGACAGAGCUCUACAUAGUAUAUGAUAAACUGUUUUAUAGGUAAAGACAACUGUUUUAGUGGGAACUCUUUGAUUUUCCACUAUUGAAAAGUUUCUAGAAUGCAAGCUAUCUCUGUACCAUAUAGGUGGUGUCCACGACUUCUCUAUUGGGUUUAGAUGUUCAAAAUCCUGUGGAAACUUUGAUUUUCUGGGACAAAAAGUAGCUUGUCAGCUGUCUGUUCCUGGAAUGACAGCUAACUCUGUAUAAAAUUUCGUUCAAAUUGGUUGAACAGAUGAGGUGAUGAUUGGUAAAGCAAAUACACAAAUUAAGGAUGCAAUAAGUAAACAAAUAAAUUAAUACAAUAGCUAAUAAAUAAAAAAUAAAAAUAAAUAAAACAAAAAUAAGGAUUCAAGUGCGGAUUGUGACUGUGUUUUUAUAUUAUUUAGGUGAUGUUUAACCAAGGAAUACUUUGGGUGUAGUGACAGUUUUUGUAUUGAAAACCUACUGAAAUAUCAAAUUUACUCUCAGAUAAGACUUGCUUUAUGUUGGUGAAAUCAGCCCUUAGAGAUAUAGAUUGUAAAAGAUUUUUAUAGAAUCGAUGUACAUAUUUUCAUCUUAAUAUAAGUAAUUUAAAUGUAAAUUAUACAUUACAAAUAAACUUAGAAAAAUAUAAAGAUUACUUUUAUUUUAUUUAUUUUUGAACAAAAAUUUUAUUUGAGUGCUAUAUUUUGUACAAAAUCAGAAAAUGAACUACUCAAAUGUAAAUUGAAAAACUUAAAUCCAUAAGGACAAAUUUGCAAGCAUGAUCUAAUGAAAUUUCCAUUAAAUUAAUGAAUUAAAAACUAGUAAUUUGAUAAGAAAUUGAUUAUACUAUAGAACUUGAAUUUAGUUACUUAGUUGAAAAUCGAGACAUGAUUUUUUGUAGUACGAAAUUAAUUGUUUUUUUGUUGCUUAUGUUGAAACUAGCACCGAAAGUUUCAAUCGAUGAAAACGAACUGGACGAAAUUCUUCAAGAUCGCGAUCACAUUUUUGUAUUACCAAUUGAAAACAACAUUGAUAAAGAACAAAAUUACAAAACAAAAGGAAAAAAGGAUAAUAAAUUGCGUAAAAAAUACGCUUCCCAUGAUCAUGUGCUAAAGUGGCGUCCUCCACAUCCGAGAAUCAUUUUAAUUCGUCCAAAACUUAUGAAAUCUCCAAAUGACGUCUCCAAACUACAUUCUAUAUCUGAAAGUCUUUCAAGUGACAAAAAUCGGGAUGCUCUACGCGAAAAAGUUGAAAGUUCAGACUCCGAACAAUAUAACAGCACGGAAAUAGAAAAAAUAAUUUUCCUCCCAAACAAUACACAUAAAUAUAUAAAAACCGCUGAAGUGAUAGAUUCAACGAAUGAAGAUAUCAACGAUGGGACGACAGGUCAAAGAUUAAAGGAAGAGGAAGAUCUAAAAUGCAUAAAUGCUUGUAAAGAAGUUAUUGGUAAUGUGUGUGAUGCACAUACCACCAAAUGCGGCGCUAAAGAACGACAUUUGUUUGAAAAGGAUUGUUUUAAGGCUUGUAACUAGGUUUAGAAAAUAAAGAGUUUCAAUAAACUUUUGUGUUCUUAUUU